rnacentral:rRNA from 1 species
UGUGCCCUUGAGGCGUGGCUUCCGGAGCUAACGCGUUAAGUCGACCGCCUGGGGAGUACGGCCGCAAGGUUAAAACUCAAAUGAAUUGACGGGGGCCCGCACAAGCGGUGGAGCAUGUGGUUUAAUUCGAUGCAACGCGAAGAACCUUACCUACUCUUGACAUCCAGAGAACUUUCCAGAGAUGGAUUGGUGCCUUCGGGAACUCUGAGACAGGUGCUGCAUGGCUGUCGUCAGCUCGUGUUGUGAAAUGUUGGGUUAAGUCCCGCAACGAGCGCAACCCUUAUCCUUUGUUGCCAGCGGUCCGGCCGGGAACUCAAAGGAGACUGCCAGUGAUAAACUGGAGGAAGGUGGGGAUGACGUCAAGUCAUCAUGGCCCUUACGAGUAGGGCUACACACGUGCUACAAUGGCGCAUACAAAGAGAAGCGACCUCGCGAGAGCAAGCGGACCUCAUAAAGUGCGUCGUAGUCCGGAUUGGAGUCUGCAACUCGACUCCAUGAAGUCGGAAUCGCUAGUAAUCGUGGAUCAGAAUGCCACGGUGAAUACGUUCCCGGGCCUUGUACACACCGCCCGUCACACCAUGGGAGUGGGUUGCAAAAGAAGUAGGUAGCUUAACCUUCGGGAGGGCGCUUACCACUUUGUGAUUCAUGACUGGGGUGAAGUCGUAC